GCCUGAAGAUGAGCUCGCGUCCGAUUAGCUAGUUGGUGAGGUAAAGGCUUACCAAGGCAACGAUCAGUAGCUGGUUUGAGAGGACGACCAGCCACACUGGGACUGAGACACGGCCCAGACUCCUACGGGAGGCAGCAGUGGGGAAUUUUCCGCAAUGGGCGCAAGCCUGACGGAGCAAUACCGCGUGGGGGAGGAAGGUUUGUGGGUUGUAAACCCCUUUUCUCUAGGAAGAAAUUUGACGGGGCUCGAGGAAUAAGCGUCGGGUAACUCCCUGCCCCCACCCGCGGUAAGACGGGGGAUGCAAGCGUUUUCCGGAAUUAUUGGGCGUAAAGGGUCCCCAGGGGGCUAAUCAAGUCUGCUUUCAAAGAGUGGAGCUCAACUCCUUGGAGGGGGUGGAAACUGAUUAGCUAGAGUAAGGGAGGGGGAAGAGGAAUUCCCCGUGUAUCGGUGAAAUGCGUAUAUAUUGGGAAAAACACUCGCGGCGAAGGCGUCUUACUGGUCCUUAACUGACACUGAGGGACAAAAA
rnacentral:rRNA from 1 species